GAGCGAUCAUAAGGGAGCUGACUGCAAAUCUGCCGUCAUCGACUUCAAGGUUCGACUCGAGCAAUAGUGAGAGAACGUUGCCGCAGGCAACGGCGCGAAGGGUGAGGAGCUUUAGCUCCGAAUAAUCCUUCCCGCUAUAGAA
rnacentral:sRNA from 1 species